rnacentral:rRNA from 1 species
CCUACGGGUGGCAGCAGUGAGGAAUAUUGGUCAAUGGGCGCGAGCCUGAACCAGCCAAGUAGCGUGAAGGAUGACUGCCCUACGGGUUGUAAACUUCUUUUAUAAAGGAAUAAAGUGAGGCACGUAUGCCUGUUUGUAUGUACUUUAUGAAUAAGGAUAGGCUAACUCCGUGCCAGCAGCCGCGGUAAUACGGAGGAUCCGAGCGUUAUCCGGAUUUAUUGGGUUUAAAGGGUGCGUAGAUGGUUUGUUAAGUUAGUGGUGAAAGUGUGCGGCUCAACCGGAAAAUUGCAAUUGAUACUGUCAGGCUUGAGUUCAGUUGAGGUAGGCGGAAUUCGUGGUGUAGCGGUGAAAUGCUUAGAUAUCACGAAGAACUCCGAUUGCGAAGGCAGCUUACUAAACUGCCACUGACAUUGAUGCUCGAAAGUGUGGGUAUCAAACAGGAUUAGAUACCCCAGUAGUC